rnacentral:rRNA from 1 species
AAGUUUUCGGAUGGAUUCCUGAUUGACUGAGCGGCGGACGGGUGAGUAACGCGUGGGUAACCUGCCUCAUACAGGGGGAUAACAGUUAGAAAUGACUGCUAAUACCGCAUAAGCGCACAGUACCACAUGGUACGGUGUGAAAAACUCCGGUGGUAUGAGAUGGACCCGCGUCUGAUUAGCUAGUUGGUGGGGUAACGGCCCACCAAGGCGACGAUCAGUAGCCGACCUGAGAGGGUGAUCGGCCACAUUGGGACUGAGACACGGCCCAAACUCC